rnacentral:lncRNA from 1 species
CAUCAAGAUUAAAUCUGGACCGUUCAUCGCGAUGCAAUCUGGGCCGUCCGUGCCUGAUUGAAUCUGGGCCGUCCGUGUGCAUGACUCUGGGCCGUCCGUGCGCACGUUUGAUCUGGGCCGUCCGUGUGCGCGGGAAUGGAUCUGGGACUUCCGAUCGCACGCACGCGGAUCGCCCACGUGGCCCGUUCCCUGGUCAGUGUUGCCUUGCCAUGCAGCGCGUCCUGGUUAGCCGGGACUGCUGACCGGGCCGCUGACGUGGUGGCUGACGUGGUGGUGAUGUGGCACAACUUUU